UUAAUAACUCCGCCUGUAGCUCUUAUAGGGUUGCUGCCGGUCCCAAGCCCGGGUAAAGGAGGAGGGUUGG
rnacentral:ribozyme from 1 species